UACGUAGGGGGCUAGCGUUGUCCGGAAUCACUGGGCGUAAAGCGCACGUAGGCGGGUCGUUAAGUCAGGGGUGAAAUCCUGGAGCUCAACUCCAGAACUGCCUUUGAUACUGGCGAUCUCGAGUCCGGGAGAGGUGAGUGGAACUGCGAGUGUAGAGGUGAAAUUCGUAGAUAUUCGCAAGAACACCAGUGGCGAAGGCGGCUCACUGGCCCGGUACUGACGCUGAGGUGCGAAAGCGUGGGGAGCAAACAGGG
rnacentral:rRNA from 1 species